AUCCAGCUGACGAGUUGAAAAUAGAACGAAACGCGCUUCCUUGAU
rnacentral:hammerhead_ribozyme from 1 species